UACGUAGGGUGCAAGCGUUAAUCGGAAUUACUGGGCGUAAAGCGUGCGCAGGCGGCUUUGCAAGACAGAUGUGAAAUCCCCGGGCUCAACCUGGGAACUGCAUUUGUGACUGCAUGGCUGGAGUGCGGCAGAGGGGGAUGGAAUUCCGCGUGUAGCAGUGAAAUGCGUAGAGAUGCGGAGGAACACCGAUGGCGAAGGCAGCCCCCCUGGGCUGACACUGACGCUCAGGCACGAAAGCGUGGGGAGCAAACAGG
rnacentral:rRNA from 1 species